CUGUACCAUACAGCCUAACUAUAUUGUUUGCUCUAACAGGAAGAGUAACCGCAGAAAGUGUAGUUUACAGCUUUGGCACCCUGUUGCUUGAUCUUCUUAGUGGCAAGCAUAUUCCCCCGAGCCAUGCACUUGAUUUAAUACGUGGCAAAAAUUUCUUGAUGUUGAUGGAUUCUUGCUUGGAGGGUCAUUUUUCAAAUGAUGAUGGAACUGAACUUGUGCGAUUAGCUUCACGUUGUUUGCAAUAUGAAGCUCGUGAGAGGCCAAACCCAAAAUCACUGGUGACUGCACUCAUUGCUCUUCAAAAAGAUACAGAGGUUCCAUCAUAUGAGUUAAUGG